UUGUUCGUUUUCAUCUAACAA
rnacentral:piRNA from 1 species